CAGCCGCCACGGGAAUACGUAGGUGGCAAGCGUUGUCCGGAUUUAUUGGGCGUAAAGCGAGCGCAGGCGGUUCCUUAAGUCUGAUGUGAAAGCCCCCGGCUCAACCGGGGAGGGUCAUUGGAAACUGGGAGACUUGAGUGCAGAAGAGGAGAGUGGAAUUCCAUGUGUAGCGGUGAAAUGCGUAGAUAUAUGGAGGAACACCAGUGGCGAAGGCGGCUCUCUGGUCUGUAACUGACGCUGAGGCUCGAAAGCGUGGGGAGCGAACAGGAUUAGAUACCCCGGUAGUCCCUGUCUCUUAUAC
rnacentral:rRNA from 1 species